CUUGAAAUAGCGCUAGACGUCCUUUUUUGCCUUGGCUAGAUGUUAAUUUGCAUUUCAUAUAUUUGAUUUCAGUAGUUGAGGAGGUGAGAGUUGGUAAGUGAGGUAAGAAGCAGACAUCUUCUUACUUGUUGGAGUUUGGGAAAGUGACUAAAGCCAAAUGUUCUAUGAAAGGAAUAAAUAAAUGUGGUCUACUGAUAGACCGAAGGAGCAGUGCCACCAGCUUCUUGGCAAACAUGACCCAUUAUUCUGCUGCCUCAUGAGAAAAUGUCAUCAAAAUUGGACGGCUGCCAUUAACGUAAACCUCAGCAAUGAUUAAUCAUGUACAGUGGCGAUGUUUCCAUUCAGCCUACACGUUUAGCGCUCAACAUCCUAUUUGUGGUCAGAAAGGCAGCACUGUGUACGUCAUCUGUGUGACACUCCGUAAUGUUUUUUGGCGCACAGACCAGUCGGAGGACGUCGAUCAAACCCAAUUGGUGAUCGGAGUGGUGGCCGGCCUUGUCAUCUCCACCGUGGUCAUUGGGCUAGCCUAUGGAAUUUGCAAGGGAAUAUCCAAGCAAGGCAGCCGGAACCGCGCCGAGAAUGAGAACGGUCCCUCUUUGGAGGAGACAAACAUGGACACCAACCAAAAUCCUGAAGAGUAAACAAACAUCUAAGCCACCUGCCAUCCUUUCGGAAUUUGAAAGUGAGAACAUGGAGCUUUGUACAUUUCUCCUCCCUACCUCAUCUUUUGGGAAAAGAAAACAAUUUAUGUUACAAACAAGGUAGCUUGGAAUUCAUUUCAGGGAGAAUGUAACGACAAAUCCAUUUCAACUCUUGGAGAAAAAAAAAUGUUUAAUGUAUGUGAUAUACAUAUGUUACUUGACAUAUUAUAGACAGUGUAGCUAUGUCGUCUGUUAGCGGUCAUGUUUUUUAAGAAGGAACUAUUGUUGGUUAGUUGCUGCAAGAUAAAGGGUAUUAUAAUACUGUGGGGCUGUGAGAUAUCAAUAGAACCGUUAUGUGGCAAGAUAACAAAUAUUGAUAAAGCUAACAACAACAAAAAAUCACAUUCAUGAGCAAUUAUCAAAAAUAGAUCAAAAAUUACGAACAUUUCCGAAAGUAUUCCGGAAACAGCCGAAUGGGGCGGAGACGUCACAACAAGGUAACAAAAGGUCGAGGCGGGUGCCAUCGUUGUUUAUCGACGAGAGAGUUGCGUUCGUGUUUUGUCAAAAAAUCGCUAAAAUGGUUCAAACCUGUCAUGCUAUGUGGUGUACAAAUAGCCAUUUGUCGCAAUGUAGUACUCAUGAGUUCCCGAACGCGAGAAAAAGAGCUGGACUAAGCAGACAAUGAGUAAAGUUUGUCCGUGCCAACAGGGCUAAUUUUGCAGACCCGGCCUCUGGCACGGUUUUGUGUGGUGCGCAUUUUACACCUGAAAGCUAUUCGAACUAUGGACAAAUGAAAUCAGGUUUUGCUAAGAAAUUGCUGCUGAAAGCAGAAGCGGUGCCCACCGUACACUCGCAGCCACCCUAAAUGUCCCGAGAUAUCAAGAAAGAGGACGAUGACUGGCUCUGAUGAGACCACCCCACCGCCACAGGCUAACCAAAGGAGCGGAGCAGCCAAGCUCGAAAUGGCCAGAGUGAGUACUCUUUUAUAAUAAAAAACAUAUCACACAUUGGCUAGGCAAGGCAAGGCAAGGCAAGGCAAAUUUAUUUAUAUAGCACAAUUCAACACAAGGCAAUUCAAAGUGCUUUACAUCACAUGAAGACCAUAAAAAUCACAUUUAAAUCAACACAACGUAAAAACCAAGACAAACGAUCGCAUUUAAUCACAGAAUAAAAAUAAAUAAAUAAAAAUAAAACAAAAAUAGAAAUAAAGCAAAAACUACUACUACUAAUAAUCAUUGAAAUCAGCAAUGGAGAUAAGCACAAGAGGAAUAGAAGGCAGGUAGAUUGAAAUAUAUAGACAGUUAUGGAUAUGCAGUGCUAAACAAAAGCGUUUUUAGCCCUGAUUUAAAGGAGCUAACAGUUUGAGCAUACUUCAGACGUUCGGGUAACUUGUUCCAGAGGUGAGGAGCAUAAUAACUAAAUGCUGCCUCACCCUGCUUGGUUCUUGUUCUUGGAACAUGCAGAAGACCCGUUCCAGACGACCUUAGGGGUCUCAUAGGAAUCUAACAAGUCAAGCAUGUAUUUUGGUCCAAGGCCAU